rnacentral:rRNA from 1 species
AGAGUUUGAUCAUGGCUCAGGAUGAACGCUAGCUACAGGCUUAACACAUGCAAGUCGAGGGGAAACGACAUCGAAAGUCUGUCUUUUGAUGGGCGUCGACCGGCGUACGGGUGAGUAACGCGUAUCCAACCUGCCCACCACUUGGGGAUAACCUUGCGAAAGUAAGACUAAUACCCAAUGAUAUCUCUAGAAGACAUCUGAAAGAGAUUAAAGAUUUAUCGGUGAUGGAUGGGGAUGCGUCUGAUUAGCUUGUUGGCGGGGUAACGGCCCACCAAGGCAACGAUCAGUAGGGGUUCUGAGAGGAGGGUCCCCCACAUUGGAACUGAGACACGGUCCAAACUCCUACGGGAGGCAGCA